UUUCCAUUGAAAGAAGUUGGCAACACUGGUGGCGGGAAUGCACCUAUCGUUUGUUUGCCAGCCAGCCAUAAAACUCCAAAAGAAGAAGAAGAAGGGGCUGCUGGGCAAAGAAUUGUGUUUGAAUGACCGAAAGGUUGACUGGAGGUCCCAGAGUGUCCACUAGAUGGUGAAAGAUCCUUUAGGAAUGCUAGAUGGGAACCGUGAGAAUGAAGGGCAGAUCAAGUCAAUCCAUGCAGGGAG